rnacentral:rRNA from 1 species
ACAGAGGGUGCAAACGUUGCUCGGAAUUACUGGGCGUAAAGGGCGCGUAGGCGGCCUUCUAAGUCAGACGUGAAAUCCCCAGGCUUAACUUGGGAACUGCGUCUGAUACUGGGAGGCUUGAAUGCGGGAGAGGGAUGUGGAAUUCCAGGUGUAGCGGUGAAAUGCGUAGAUAUCUGGAGGAACACCGGUGGCGAAGGCGGCAUCCUGGACCGACAUUGACGCUGAGGCGCGAAAGCCAGGGGAGCAAACGGG